UUGACUAGUUUCUAGCUUGUUCCCCUGA
rnacentral:piRNA from 1 species